rnacentral:sRNA from 1 species
GUUUAGAACUUAUGAGA